rnacentral:rRNA from 1 species
AAGUCGAACGGUAAGGUCUCUUCGGAGAUACACGAGUGGCGCACGGGUGAGUAACACGUACGCAACCUACCUUGUACAGGAGAAUAGCCCCGGGAAACUGGGAUUAAUACUCCAUAGUCUUCAAUGAUCGCAUGAGAAAUGAAGUAAAGCUCCGGCGGUACAAGAUGGGCGUGCGUCCCAUUAGAUUGUUGGUGAGGUAACGGCUCACCAAGUCAAUGAUGGGUAGCUGGCGUGAGAGCGCGACCAGCCACACUGGCACUGAGACACGGGCCAGACUCCUACGGGAGGCAGCAGUAGGGAAUAUUGGUCAAUGGGCGAAAGCCUGAACCAGCCAUGCCGCGUGGAGGAUGACUGCCCUCAGGGUUGUAAACUCCUUUUAUAUGGGAAGAACCCCCCCGAUUCAUCGGGGUCUGACGGUACCAUAUGAAUAAGCACCGGCUAACUCCGUGCCAGCAGCCGCGGUAAUACGGAGGGUGCAAGCGUUAUCCGGAUUCACUGGGUUUAAAGGGUGCGCAGGCGGGAA